GGACUCCCUGGCUGGCUGGAAUUGCCACCACUUACCACUUGCUGGAUUUCCCCGAUGCUGAUGCUGACUCCUGUAGGAGCGCCUGCCUGUCUCCAUGGUAACAGAUCCUGCAUACUAUUCUCCUAGUUAGAUUUUCUUCCCCCAUUCUGCACCUGGACAAUCAGCCUAGCACCUGCCCCAUUCUAGUAGCCAUCCCUGUGUCUCAAGUCUCAGUGUUUUCCAGCCUGUGAUUUCCAAGCAUGCGAAGUUGGCUAUGUGACCUUGGAGUCUCCUAGGUGAAAACGUUGGAGGCCAUGACAUAGAUGCCAACA
rnacentral:lncRNA from 1 species